rnacentral:rRNA from 1 species
UACAGAGGGUGCAAGCGUUGUCCGGAAUCACUGGGCGUAAAGGGCGCGUAGGCGGCCUGAUAAGUCGGGGGUGAAAUUCUGCGGCUUAACCGCAGGACGGCCUUCGAGACUGUCGGGCUUGAGCACGGUAGAGGCUGGUGGAAUUCCCGGUGUAGCGGUGGAAUGCGUAGAGAUCCGGAAGAACACCGGUGGCGAAGGCGGUCUGCUGGGCCAAGACUGACGCUGAGGCGCGACAGCGUGGGGAGCAAACAGG